rnacentral:lncRNA from 1 species
GAGCCAUCAGUCAAAGGAAGACAGACAGCCUAGCCCGGUGUUAAGAGGUAGAGAAGCUCACUUAGCCCUCUUCUCCACAAAGCUGUGGUAAGGGUGUGGGUGCAUAAUUCUACUACAGAGGAACACUAGUUUUGUCCAAUAAUACAAUUCAAAGAGAAAGAGAUCUGUGGGUCCACAGCAGAGGGCACAUCUGUAUGCUUUCUGAUAGUGCCCUGAGCAUGAUGAUGUCAGUGCUGAUAAUAACGACCAUCACAGCACUGAUAAUGAUAGCAGCCAACUAUUACUGAACACUAUGUGCCAGGCAUUGUGCUAAGCACUUUACAUUAAGCGACCUCAUUUUACCCUCACAGCUCUGUGAGGUACGUAAUUUGCACACCCUUAUUUUAGAGGUGAAAAUCUGAAGGUUAGGAAAUUGAAAAAACUUUGCCUCAGGUCACAGAGAUAUGGCAUGCCCAGGAUAUGCAUCUAAGUGAUGCCAAAGUUAGCCUUCUUAAAAAAUUCACGAUUCUGUCUCUCUACAGUGAAGCCACCAAAUCGGUUGCCUGAGGAACUUAGGCAGACAAAGCCAUCUGAAGCCCUGCAAAAAUGUCCUGUUUCUCUUGCAGGACACAGAGGUUGGCAAGCACCCCUGAGCCCAAGGAGUCUUGCGGACAGGGUGAACCACCAACAAUAACCAGAGGCAUGUGCUCCACUUCUCCACCCUCCCUGAUUGCAAUGACCCAGCAUAAAGAAGGAUGGAAAAAAGAAUGUCCAAGGAGGAGGAAGGGUGAGAAAGUGGCACAUUCCCUAUCAGGUAAGUGAAUUUGACACCCAUAUUCCUUAUUAUCCUUAGGGGGAAAAAAAAGCUUAGAAUGGUCUUUGUUUUUCAAUUUAGUACCCCCUACUUUUACUUUGUCUGGGAAGCAUUAUUUAUUUUGAUUUUGAUUUUUUUUUUAAAUUUUGUUUAACGUUUAUUUAUUUUUGAGACAGAGAGAGACAGAGCAUGAAUGGGGAAGGGGCAGAGAGAGAGGAAGACACAGAAUCAGAAGCAGGCUCCAGGCUCUGAGCCAUCAGCCCAGAGCCCGACGCGGGGCUCGAACUCACGGACCGCGAG